CCUUUGACCCUACAAACGUGUGGAAGAAAAAGUUCACUAACACUUUACUCGAAGGUAUCUACAUAAGAGUGACAUGACACUGUCAUGAACACAUGACACUGUCAUGACACAUGAACUCUAACUCUAACCCAAACAUAACUCGUCAUGACAAAAACCGAAUGAUACUUAAUGAAAGAAGCGGUAUGUCAUCAACGUUUAUGACUUGUUUAUAAUGUUUACGACACGUUCAUGACGGUGUCAUGUCACUCUUAUGUAGAUACCUUCAAGUAAAGUGUAACCGAAAGUUCUCUCAGGUCCAAUUCAGUGGCUGGUUCAGCUGACGUUUAUUCAGUGGAGACAGAAGUUCACAAGAAGCUGUAGAAUUCUCUCUGAGCAGAAUGAGUUUCUGGUCAGGGUUUUAGGAGGAAACCACAGAAUAAACAAAAGCUAAGAAGACAUUUAAAUCACAAGUCUGUCUGAGUAGAUUUACAUAAGCCGCUUUCCGACCUGAGGGAUUUUUGCAGUUCCUAGAACAUAAACCAGAGCACGUUUUUCUCCCAUCCCAGAAUGCUGUGUGGACCAACCAGACCUUCCUUUGCAGUGCUGUGGAGGAAGGUCUGGCAAUGCGAGACUGGUUAAGGUGUGAAUCUCCGCUGAUAAAGAGUCUUUGUCCAUCAGACCCCGUGAUGGAACAGUAAUGUACUGCAGGAUAGGAUGUCUAUGGUGAACACGUUUAUUUGUAUGUUAGCCGUUAAAAAUGUGUUUUAAAACCAAAAGGGAUUUGUGUAAAAAGAUGUUAUAAGCUCAACGGUUCAGUUACUAGUUUUCUAUCGAGUCUCAUGGUCAUCAUCAGCUUAGUUGUCAUCACAUGACCUGAGUAUGGAACUGCAGUCACGUGAUAACAGGUAGUUCUAUAUUGUGGGAGUUGGUGACCUCUGUUCCUGUGACCCUUUACAAAGAUGGUCUUUGGUGUCAAGAGUGAAUCGCCCAAUCUCACACACACACACACACACACACACACACACACACACACACACACACACACACACACACACACACACACACACACACUCAUAUGUGGAUGGGGAUAUUGAUCCCCACUUUGGCCACUCACCCACUUCUCUACACUUUACAUACUUAUCAUUCCAAUAUGCAUCUUGCACACUACUUUUCACUAUUACUUUUUGGACUUUACAUCCCACUCCAUGUGUACUUGUCUUGAUAUUAUGUCUUAUUUGUAUAUUAUGUUGA